rnacentral:rRNA from 1 species
GACGAAGGGGCUAGCGUUGUUCGGAAUUACUGGGCGUAAAGCGAGUGUAGGCGGUUGUUCAAGUCAGGUGUGAAAGCCUUGAAGCCUCAACUCAAGAAAGUGCACCUUGAUAACUGGAUGACUAGAGGACCGGAGAGGGAUAGUGGAAUUCCAGUGAUAGUGGUGAAAUACGUAGAGAUUGGGAAGAACACCAGUGGCGAAGGCGGCUAGCUCUGGACGGUUACUGACACUGAGGCACGGAAGGCCAAGGGGAGCAAACGGG